AGAGUCCCUUCCACUACACAACAGGGAAUGUCAUGCUAAUUUGAACCUCUGACAACUUUGUGACAAUUUCGUUUCUGCAAUGCAUGGAAACACAUCUCUACGCCCAUCUUCACAAGCCCGGUGUUCCCCAACUCUAAACACCUCCAAGACAGGAGAAAGCAGGGAAAAGACAAGCAUCAACAUGGUAAAGAUAUGCCCAUCCCACAAAAAAGAAACUGCCUGAGUACUCAUCCACAAAUUUAAUUAAAUGACAAAUGUUCUGAUAAAGAA
rnacentral:lncRNA from 11 species